CCUACGGGUGGCAGCAGUAGGGAAUUUUCGGCAAUGGGGGGAACCCUGACCGAGCAACGCCGCGUGAACGAAGAAGUUAUUCGUAAUGUAAAGUUCUUUUAACAGGGAAGAAAGAGAAAUUUGACGGUACCUGAAGAAUAAGCUCCGCCUAAUUACGUGCCAGCAGCCGCGGUAAUACGUAGGGAGCGAGCGUUAUCCGGAAUUAUUGGGCGUAAGGGGUGCGUAGAUGGCAUAGUAAGUCUUUUGUAAAUAUGCUGGGCUAAACCCAGUAGGGCAAAAGAUACUGCAUAGCUAGAGUAUGACAGAGGCAAGUGGAACUACAUGUGUAGCGGUAAAAUGCGUAGAUAUAUGUAGGAACACCAGUGGCGAAGGCGGCUUGCUGGAUCGAUACUGACAUUGAGGCAUGAAAGCGUGGGGAGCAAACAGGAUUAGAUACCCGGGUAGUC
rnacentral:rRNA from 1 species